rnacentral:lncRNA from 1 species
UCCCGAGCUAAGAAAAAAGGUAUUCCCUCUGAUCCAUAUUACUAGACGCACACUUAAUACAACUUUAUAGUAUUAAUAUGGAUAGGAGGGAGUAAUAAAUUCGAUCAAGUGUUCUAUGUACAUACAAAUUUUCGUGAAGAAACUCAUUUGUGAUGCUCCGGAAAGAAAGAUGUUUUGAAAAUGUCAUUUUAAAAUCAUUUUUGGGGGACUGGUUGUUUUGUCCAUAUCACCACAGAUGUCAUUUCUUCUCAGAAAUGUGCAUGUGGAUAGAGCACACGACCAUCUUUGGUAUAAAAAGAUUCAGAAAAAAUUAUUUUGUUUUACUUUUUGGGGGAUUUCACCGCUCACCUCGUAUGCAUAUGAGCUACGGUGUGAACAUGCACUUUCGGAUGGGCCGAACCUUCACACUGAGCUUAUCCAAAAAAUCAAGUCACCACUUGAUCUAUCACCCAGUAUUGGACCUCCCGUAGUGAGAGUGUCAUAAGAGUAUCAUGGACUGCCAUCUAAGCAAAAAAUAUGCCAUGUCACUACAAUCGUUUUCUUCAUCUACAUCAGCAACAUUUUCUUUAGCAAUUGAUACAAUUGCUCUUUCAUAUUCUUCUGUAGUGGCGGGGUCGGCUUCUUGAAGAAUACUGACCGACGGAGAUGCAGGGGAGAACUAGGACCUGCAAAUCCUUUGCAAUGGAGAUUGAGGCUUAUCUGAUUCAAGGUGAAUAGGCACAAUGUCAAAGGGCGGUUCCGAAGAUUUCACAUGAGGCGUGGUGUGGAGAGGAGAAUUUGAAUGUUCUUGAGCCUAAUAGUCACCAUGAAUUCUUGAUUUUCGGGCAUCUCUAAUAUCCACAUGCUCGCUUUCUUUACCUGCAACUUCUUCAGUUUCUGUAGGGUGAGGCGAUGAUAACAUAAGAGCAGUGUCAUCAAAGGUGAAAAUUUCUUCAUCCAUCUUUUCAUAGGGGGAAUCUUGGGGUUUUCUUCAUAUUUUGCCCCAAACGGCCGACACAAGCGGUGGCAUUGAGGCCAACGGCGGAAAAAG